UCUUUUGAACUUGAUCCAGCUUCUUUGCCCAAAAAUAUCGAAGAAAUUGUUGUCCCUGAAUAUAUGGUGGUUGACACUGGUAAUAGUUGUCCCAGUGAUUCGUGUACAGGAUCUUCAGAUGAAGUGAAACUGGAAGUGGAGCCUGAAGCAANUCUAUGCACCUGGCUGAUCUGAAGGGUGCUCAUCUAGAACCUGAAGUUGCCAAUGUCAAUGAGGAUCGUAGUACUCCCCCAGAUUCAACCCUGGAACCUAUUGAAAUUCCGGAAGCAGAGUUCUUCAACUUUGAAGCUGAGAAGUCCAUUGGAAAGUUUGAGGUUGGUCAGCUCUGGUCAUUGUACAGCAACGAGGAUGGCUUGCCGAAGUGCUAUGCUCAGAUCACAAAAAUUGCUUCUGGCCAGGAUUUCAAAUUGCAGCUUAGGUGGCUUGUUCCAUGUGCACUGCGUAAUGAUGUGAUUCAAUGGCAUGAUAAGGGUAUGCCUAUUUCUUGUGGAAGAUUUAGGACUCAAAAGGGUGAAUCACAAUCUUAUCCUUCUGCUAAAUUCUCUCAUAAAUUAAGUAUAGUACCUGCUGGCAAGAAAAAUGAAUAUAUCAUUUUGCCUAGAAAAGGUCAGGUUUGGGCAUUGUAUAAGAACUGGUCUGCU
rnacentral:misc_RNA from 1 species